rnacentral:lncRNA from 1 species
CAUCUGCAUUUUUGUCAUCUUCAUUUCAAAGUGUUAUAUUAUUAGAUUCAGAAUCACCCUGAAUAAUUAGUCUCAGUAGAAUCUGUCUUUCCAUUUCCAAAACGCUGUCCCUGCCAGUAUCAGGGCCUAUUUCUACAAUGGGGUAUACCAUCUAAAUAUGUAAACAUUGGGAUCCUGCAUGUCCAGAUUGCUUAGGACCAGGAGUCGUCAUGGCAGGAAAAUCUGGUCACCUGGAGUGCUCAGACCCACGGCAGCUUCCCGGUGCUGAACUGACUCUUGGCCCUCCUGAUGUGCCCGUUGUUUCCUCAGUUGCCCCUACACCACCCACACACGCACCGUCCUGAACCCCCUUGCUCCAGCUCUGCCUGUGUUCUGGCUUUGCUGUUCCUUCAGGGUGUUCUUCCAGUUCCUCAAUUGUCUUUAUUAACCAGGAGGCGUGGAUGAGCGGGAGCAGGAAAUCUAAGGUCUCUCUCUCUUGCACAGCGUGUAUGUGUGUGUGUGAGAGAGAGAGAGAGAGAAUGAGUGACUUAAGCCUACAGAGCUGCUCACUUUCACACAGCCAUCCAGCCAUGCUAACUUUCACCUUGAAACUAUACUGCCAGCCUGCUCAGUCCCUGGAGCUAGUGCAUUGUCCACAGGAAAUGAGCAGCGUGGGGUAACUGAAUUUUCGAGUUAGGCCAUUCUGUUUUUGAAUUUAUUUUUAAUUGAGGAUAGUUGCUUUGUAA